rnacentral:rRNA from 1 species
GUCCUACGGGAGGCAGCAGUGGGGAAUAUUGGGCAAUGGAGGAAACUCUGACCCAGCAACGCCGCGUGAAUGAUGAAGGUCUUCGGAUUGUAAGGUUCUUUUCUAAGGGAAGAAGAAAGUGACGGUACCUUAGGAAUAAGCCACGGCUAACUACGUGCCAGCAGCCGCGGUAAUACGUAGGUGGCAAGCGUUAUCCGGAUUUAUUGGGUGUAAAGGGCGUGUAGGCGGGAUUGCAAGUCAGAUGUGAAAACCACGGGCUCAACCUGUGGCCUGCAUUUGAAACUGUAGUUCUUGAGUGCUGGAGA